rnacentral:rRNA from 1 species
UACGUAGGGUGCGAGCGUUGUCCGGAAUUAUUGGGCGUAAAGGGCUCGUAGGCGGUUUGUCGCGUCGGGAGUGAAAUCCACUGGCUUAACUGGUGGCUUGCUUUCGAUACGGGCAGACUAGAGGUAUGCAGGGGAGAACGGAAUUCCUGGUGUAGCGGUGAAAUGCGCAGAUAUCAGGAGGAACACCGGUGGCGAAGGCGGCUUGCUGGGCCAGUUCUGACGCUGAGGAGCGAAAGCGUGGGGAGCAAACAGG